rnacentral:lncRNA from 1 species
CCCUUUUUAGACAAACGUAGAAGCAUCACCAGAAAAACGAUAUAUCUUUUAGUAAUUUAACUUGGGGCUCGUGUUGCUUAUUCUUUAGUUUUCUAUGUUGUGUCAUCUGUACUAUUGUUUGUCUGUUUGUCUUUUUCAUUUUUAGCUAUGUCGUUGUCAGUUUAUUUUCGAUUUACAAGUUUGACUGUCCCUCUGGUAUCUUUCAUCCCUCUUUUGUUAAUGAUUUUGAACCCUUGCAUUUUAAAAA